UGCUUCCCGGCAGAAGGAGACUGACUGGUUGGCAGGCGACUAGCUUGGAUCCAGUUGUCACUGCAGUCUGGCAGAAGUGGUGGUCUGAAGGUUAAAAUUAGGGAAUACCGCUUUUGUCCCUGGGAUAUUCCAGAUACCCGGUACAAGGAUUAAAAAAAAAAAAAGCAGAAACCAAAUGGAGAUCUGGUGAGGCCUGGGGACACCACUGGAUGAGACCCAAGUGGAGUUUCCUCGUCGCCGCCGCAACCGUCUGGGGGUGAAGCCUUCCGAGGUGGGGGCGGCCGACUGUGGGCCAUCGCGCCCCUCAAAGUCCGAGCACGGGGAAGCCUGGCCCGGAGCCCUGGCUCACACAUCGCUGGGCUCACGGACUCAGCCCGACUGACUGCUGGUGACUGUGCUGCCGGAGAUGCGGCCCUCCUACCCCUUCCCAGCUGCUGGACUCGGGGGAACCCUGGGGGAUAAGGGGGAGGGCAGGCGCACGCUGUUCCAACAGGUAUUUCUC